rnacentral:rRNA from 1 species
UCCGGUAGACGAUGGGGAUGCGUUCCAUUAGAUAGUAGGCGGGGUAACGGCCCACCUAGUCUUCGAUGGAUAGGGGUUCUGAGAGGAAGGUCCCCCACAUUGGAACUGAGACACGGUCCAAACUCCUACGGGAGGCAGCAGUGAGGAAUAUUGGUCAAUGGGCGAGAGCCUGAACCAGCCAAGUAGCGUGAAGGAUGACUGCCCUAUGGGUUGUAAACUUCUUUUAUAAAGGAAUAAAGUCGGGUAUGGAUACCCGUUUGCAUGUACUUUAUGAAUAAGGAUCGGCUAACUCCGUGCCAGCAGCCGCGGUAAUACGGAGGAUCCGAGCGUUAUCCGGAUUUAUUGGGUUUAAAGGGAGCGUAGAUGGAUGUUUAAGUCAGUUGUGAAAGUUUGCGUCUCAACCGUAAAAUUGCAGUUGAUACUGGAUAUCUUGAGUGCAGUUGAGGCAGGCGGAAUUCGUGGUGUAGCGGUGAAAUGCUUAGAUAUCACGAAGAACUCCGAUUGCGAAGGCAGCCUGCUAAGCUGCAACUGACAUUGAGGCUCGAAAGUGUGGGUAUCAAACAGGAUUAGAUACCCUGGUAGUCCACACGGUAAACGAUGAAUACUCGCUGUUUGCGAUAUACUGCAAGCGGCCAAGCGAAAGCGUUAAGUAUUCCACCUGGGGAGUACG